rnacentral:rRNA from 1 species
UUAGAGUUUGAUCCUGGCUCAGGAUGAACGCUAGCGGCAGGCUUAACACAUGCAAGUCGAGGGGCAGCGAGAUCAGUGCUUGCACUGAUUGUCGGCGACCGGCGCACGGGUGCGUAACGCGUAUGCAACCUACCCAUUACAGGGGGAUAACACUGAGAAAUCGGUACUAAUACCCCAUAACAUCCAGGGAGGCAUCUUCUUGGGUUGAAAACUCCGGUGGUAAUGGAUGGGCAUGCGUUGUAUUAGUUAGUUGGUGGGGUAACGGCUCACCAAGACAACGAUACAUAGGGGGACUGAGAGGUUAACCCCCCACAUUGGUACUGAGACACGGACCAAACUCCUACGGGAGGCAGCAGUGAGGAAUAUUGGUCAAUGGACGCAAGUCUGAACCAGCCAUGCCGCGUGCAGGAAGACGGCUCUAUGAGUUGUAAACUGCUUUUGUACGAGGGUAAACGCAGAUACGCGUAUCUGUCUGAAAGUAUCGUACGAAUAAGGAUCGGCUAACUCCGUGCCAGCAGCCGCGGUAAUACGGAGGAUUCAAGCGUUAUCCGGAUUUAUUGGGUUUAAAGGGUGCGUAGGCGGUCGGAUAAGUUAGAGGUGAAAUUCCCGGGGCUCAACUUCGGAAUUGCCUCUGAUACUGUUCGGCUUAGAGAAGUAGUUGCGGUAGGGCGGAAUGUAUGGUGUAGCGGUGAAAUGUUUAGAGAUCAUACAGAACACCGAUUGCGAAGGCAGCUUACCAAGCUACUUUUGACGUUGAGGCACGAAAGCGUGGGGAGCAAACAGGAUUAGAUACCCUGGUAGUCCACACAGUAAACGAUGAUAACUCGUUGUCGGCGAUACAGUGUCGGUGACUAAGCGAAAGCGAUAAGUUAUCCACCUGGGGAGUACGUUCGCAAGAAUGAAACUCAAAGGAAUUGACGGGGGCCCGCACAAGCGGAGGAACAUGUGGUUUAAUUCGAUGAUACGCGAGGAACCUUACCCGGGCUUGAAAGUUAGUGACGGAUCUCGAAAGAGGUCUUCCCUUCGGGGCACGAAACUAGGUGCUGCAUGGUUGUCGUCAGCUCGUGCCGUGAGGUGUCGGGUUAAGUCCCAUAACGAGCGCAACCCCUACCGUUAGUUGCCAGCAGGUCAAGCUGGGCACUAUGACGGGACUGCCGGUGUAAGCCGAGAGGAAGGUGGGGAUGACGUCAAAUCAGCACGGCCCUUACGUCCGGGGCUACACACGUGUUACAAUGGCAGGUACAGAGGGCAGCUACCCAGCGAUGGGAUGCGAAUCUCGAAAGCCUGUCUCAGUUCGGAUUGGAGGCUGAAACCCGCCUCCAUGAAGUUGGAUUCGCUAGUAAUCGCGCAUCAGCCAUGGCGCGGUGAAUACGUUACCGGGCCUUGUACACACCGCCCGUCA